UACGUAGGGGCCUAGCGUUGUCCGGAUUUAUUGGGCGUAAAGAGCUCGUAGGCGGUUCGGUAAGUCGGGUGUGAAACCUCCAGGCUCAACCUGGAGUCGCCACUCGAUACUGCUGUGACUAGAGUCCGGUAGGGGAGCGUGGAAUUCCUGGUGUAGCGGUGAAAUGCGCAGAUAUCCGGAGGAACACCCGUGGCGAAGGCGGGUCUCUGGGCCGCAACUGACGCUGAGGAGCGAAAGCAUGGGGAGCGAACAGG
rnacentral:rRNA from 1 species